UACGUAGGGUGCAGGCGUUAAUCGGAAUUACUGGGCGUAAAGCGUGCGCAGGCGGUUUGCUAAGACAGGUGUGAAAUCCCCAGGCUUAACCUGGGAACUGCAUCCGAUACUGGAUGGCUUGAAUUCGGGAGAGGGAUGCAGAAUUCCAGGUGUAGCGGUGAAAUGCGUAGAUAUCUGGAGGAAUACCGGUGGCGAAGGCGGCAUCCUGGACCGACAUUGACGCUGAGGAGCGAAAGCUAGGGGAGCAAACGGG
rnacentral:rRNA from 1 species